rnacentral:rRNA from 1 species
UCUGGCGAGACUGCCCUCAAUGGCCGUGCGACAAGGACCCCCCUAAGGUUGUCUCCAACCUGUACAACCUUUAAACAACUGAACUGUGAAUGGCUCAUUAAAUCAGUUAUCAUUUAUUUAAUGGUCUCCUUACCACUCGGAUAACCGUGGUAAUUCUAGAGCUAAUACGUGCAGCAUAUCCCGACUUCUGGAACGGAUGUAUUUAUUGGAUAAAAGGCCGAUCCGGGCUUGCCCGUUGUUGCGGCGAAUCAUUGUGACUUGUCGAAUCGCAUGGCYUUUGAGCCGGCGAUGUUCCAUUCAAAUUUCUGCCCUAUCAACUUUCAAUGGUAGGAUAGAGGCCUACCAUGGUGGUAACGGGUGACGGAGAAUUAGGGUUCGAUUCCGGAGAGGGAGCCUGAGAGAUGGCUACCACAUCCAAGGAUGGCAGCAGGCGUGUAAAUUACACAAUCCUGACAUAGGGAGGUAGUGACAAUAAAUAACAAUACUGGGCUCUUUCGGGUCCGAUAAUUGGAAUGAGAACAAUCGUAAACUCCUUGAAUGAGGAUCCAUUGGAGGACAAGUCUGGUGUCACCAGCCGCGGUAAUUCCAACUCCAAUAGCGUAUAUUUAAGUUGUUGCAGUUAAAAAGUUCGUAGUUGGAUUUUGGGUGGGAGGGGUUGAUCCGCUCUUGCGGGCGUGUACCGACCCUUUCGUCUUUCUUGCCGGUUAUGCGUUCCUUGCCUUUAUUGGUUGGGAUCCAGAGUCGGCACUGUUACUUUGAAAAAAUUAGAGUGUUCAAAGCAGGCUUGUGCUCUGAACAUAUUAGCAUGGAAUAACSCGAUAGGACUCUGGUCCUAUUUCGUUGGUCUUCGGGAUUGGAGUAAUGAUUAAUAGAAACCGUUGGGGGCAUUCAUAUUCCAUUGUUAAAGGUGAAAUUCUUGGAUUUAUGGAUUACGAACUUCUGUGAAAGCAUUUGCCAAGGACGUUCUCAUUAAUCAAAAACGAAAGUUGGGGAAUUGAAGACGAUGAGAUACCGUCCUAGUCUCAACCAUAAACGAUGCCGACUAGGGAUUGGCGGAUGUCUAUUGGAUGACUCUGCCAGCACCUUGUGAGAAAUMAAAGUUUACGGGUUCCAAGGGGAGUAUGGUCGCAAGGCUGAAACUUAAAGGAAUUGACGGAAGGGCACCACCAGGUGUGGAGCCUGCGGCUUAAUUUGACUCAACACGGGGAAACUCACCAUGUCCAGACAUAACAAGGAUUGAUAGAUUGAGAUUUAUUUCCUGAUUCUAUAGGUGGUGGUGCAUGACCGUUCUUAGUUGGUGGAGUGAUUUGUCUAGUUAAUUUCGUUAACGAACGAGACCUCUGCCUGCUAAAUAGCUACGCGGGGACCUUUCCUCGUGGCCAGCUUCUUAGAGGGACUGUUGGACGACUAGCCAACGGAAGUUUGAGGCAAUAACAGGUCUGUGAUGCCCUUAGAUGUUCUAGGAUAGACUGUUGUAAUUAUCGAUCUUGAACGAGGAACACCUAGUAAGCGCAAGUCAUCAGCCCACGCUGAUUACGUCCCUGCCCUUUGUACACACCGCCCGUCACUCCUACCGAUUGAAUGGUCCGGUGAAGUGUCUGGAUUGCGGUGAUCUCGACAGUUUGUCGCUGGGGGUGCUGUGAGAAGUUCGUUGAACCUUAUCAUUUAGAGGAAGGAGAAGUCGUAACAAGGUUUCCGUAGGUGAACCUGCGAAAG